rnacentral:rRNA from 1 species
CUGUUAAAAAGGGGUGGCCAAGGUAAAUGCAGAUGAACCGCUUCUAAUAGUCCAUUGACUUGGACAAUAUCUAAUUUAUGAUCUGAUCUCAAAUCAGGUAGGACUACCCGCUGAAC